rnacentral:rRNA from 1 species
UCCCUUUCGGGGGGGAUUAGUGGCGAACGGGUGAGUAACACGUGGGCAAUCUGCCCUGCACUCUGGGACAAGCCCUGGAAACGGGGUCUAAUACCGGAUACUGAUCGCCUUGGGCAUCCUUGGUGAUCGAAAGCUCCGGCGGUGCAGGAUGAGCCCGCGGCCUAUCAGCUUGUUGGUGAGGUAAUGGCUCACCAAGGCGACGACGGGUAGCCGGCCUGAGAGGGCGACCGGCCACACUGGGACUGAGACACGGCCCAGACUCCUACGGGAGGCAGCAGUGGGGAAUAUUGCACAAUGGGCGAAAGCCUGAUGCAGCGACGCCGCGUGAGGGAUGACGGCCUUCGGGUUGUAAACCUCUUUCAGCAGGGAAGAAGCGAAAGUGACGGUACCUGCAGAAGAAGCGCCGGCUAACUACGUGCCAGCAGCCGCGGUAAUACGUAGGGCGCGAGCGUUGUCCGGAAUUAUUGGGCGUAAAGAGCUCGUAGGCGGCUUGUCGCGUCGGUUGUGAAAGCCCGGGGCUUAACCCCGGGUCUGCAGUCGAUACGGGCAGGCUAGAGUUCGGUAGGGGAGAUCGGAAUUCCUGGUGUAGCGGUGAAAUGCGCAGAUAUCAGGAGGAACACCGGUGGCGAAGGCGGAUCUCUGGGCCGAUACUGACGCUGAGGAGCGAAAGCGUGGGGAGCGAACAGGAUUAGAUACCCUGGUAGUCCACGCCGUAAACGGUGGGCACUAGGUGUGGGCGACAUUCCACGUCGUCCGUGCCGCAGCUAACGCAUUAAGU